AGAUUGAACGCUGGCGGCAGGCCUAACACAUGCAAGUCGAGCGGCAGCGACGGGUACUUGUACCUGGUGGCGAGCGGCGGACGGGUGAGUAAUGCCUAGGAAUCUGCCUGGUAGUGGGGGAUAACGCUACGGAAACGGCGCUAAUACCGCAUACCGUCCUACGGGAGAAAGCGACGGGGUACCUUCGGGCCUUGCGCUAUCAGAUGAGCCUAGGUCGAUUAGCUAGUGUGAGGUAUGGCUCACCGAAGGCGACGAUACCGUAACUGGUCUGGAGAGAUGAUCAGUCACACUAGGAACUGAACGACACGGUCCAGACCGUCCGUAGGGAGGCAGCAGGUAGGGAAUAGUUGGACAGUA
rnacentral:rRNA from 1 species